UACGUAGGGGGCAAGCGUUGUCCGGAUUUAUUGGGCGUAAAGAGCGUGUAGGCGGCUAUACAGGUCCGUUGUGAAAACUGGAGGCUUAACCUCCAGACGUCGAUGGAAACCGUAUGGCUAGAGUCCGGAAGAGGAGAGUGGAAUUCCUGGUGUAGCGGUGAAAUGCGCAGAUAUCAGGAAGAACACCCGUGGCGAAGGCGGCUCUCUGGGACGGUACUGACGCUGAGGAGCGAAAGCGUGGGGAGCGAACAGG
rnacentral:rRNA from 1 species